CUGCAGUGAGCCAUGCCAAUGUGGUUUGGCUGGACUGUGAGUGCUUGAUGCAGUCUGAUAGGAGGAUGGGGGUGGCGCAGAGAACAUUGAAAUCAGAAAGGAUUCUGCUCUGUAGAGACAAAGGAAACACAGAGACAUAGACAUGGAUCUGGGAAAUACACCUUUUGCUACUCGUUCAGUUUUAGCAAGGAGGUUUCUUGCAUGGCUAAGCAAAACUUAAACUUCCUCUGAGAAUUACAGGAAUUACAGGACCUGACAAAGCUAUGAAGAUUAAACCCUGACUAGCCUGCUGAAGGGACAGAGACCACAGGCACAGAGCUGAGGUGUGCCAGCUGAGGCCAUCUGAAACAUGGGAGAGAGAGAUGGCUAUGGUCAAAGAAAUGCUCAGCCAGGCCUGACCAAGAUCAACAGAACCCACCAGCUAACUGUGAAUACCUAUAGGAAGAAAAUCUGAACCAGAAACAGUAUGGCAGAAUUGGGAUCUGACUCACAGAGGGAAGAACUUAUAAUUCUUCACAGGUCACAUAGAAGCAUGAGAAUUUGGGUUCAAGCAAGUAAAUUCUAAAUCAGAAUCCAUACAUAAAGUGUUUGCAAUGUCCAGUUAUAUCUCCAUGAUAUUUUCUUUGUGGAAGUUGAUUGUUCUUCCUUACAAUAAAUUGCUUGAAUUGUCUGUCUAUUCAUUUAGCUAUUUCUUUUCUUGUCUUUGCGAUAUUUUUUUUUGUAAGUAAAAAAUUUU
rnacentral:lncRNA from 10 species